GGUCAGUUCCACUACUUGGGCUCGAUUAUUAGCAAGGAUGGAGAGAUCGGAGAUGACGUGACCUAUAGAAUAAAAGUAGAAUGGCUUAAGUGGAGGAGUGAUUCUGGCAUAUUAUGUGAUAAAAGGAUACCAACCAAAUUGAAAGGAAAGCUUUAUAGGACAGUUGUAAGACCUGCAUUGUUUUGGUCUUACAUUGUUUUAUGGGACAGAAUGUUGAGC
rnacentral:misc_RNA from 1 species